rnacentral:rRNA from 1 species
AUGCAAGUUAACUCGCAAGAGUGGCAGACUGCUCAGUAACACGUCGAUAAUUUGCCCUUGGGUCUGGGAUAACCUCGGGAAACUGAGGCUAAACCCGGAUAGAAUAAUAAUACUGGAAUGUUGUUAUUUUAAAAGUAAUGCCCAAGGAUAAGUCGGCGGCCGAUUAGGUUGUUGGUGAGGUAACGGCUCACCAAGCCAAAGAUCGGUAGGGGCCCUGAGAGGGGUAGCCCCGAGAAGGGCACUGAGAUACUGGCCCUAGCCCUACGGGGUGCAGCAGGCGCGAAGCCUUUACAAUGCACGCAAGUGUGAUAAGGGGAUCCUAAGUGCUCUGCUUUUAGCAGGGCUUUUGCCAAAUGUAAACAGUUUGGAGAAUAAGUGGUGGGCAAGACUGGUGCCAGCCGCCGCGGUAACACCAGCGUCCACAAGUGGCAACCGUAUUUAUUGGGCCUAAAGCGUCCGUAGCCGGUUUGGUAGAUUCUUUGUGAAAUUGUUGGGCUUAACCUAACAACGUGCAGAGGAGACCGCCAAACUUGGAACCGGGAGGGGUUAGAGGUAUUCUAGGGGGAGCGGUAAAAUGUUAUAAUCCCUGGAAGACCACCUGUGGCGAAGGCGUCUAACCAGAACGGAUUCGACGGUGAGGGACGAAAGCUAGGGGAGCAAUCCGGAUUAGAUACCCGGGUAGUCCUAGCUGUAAACGCUGCGAGCUAGGUGUUGCACAUUCUUAGUGAAUGUGCGGUGUCGGAGCGAAGGUGUUAAGCUCGCCGCCUGGGAAGUAUGGUCGCAAGACUGAAACUUAAAGGAAUUGGCGGGGGAGCACUACAAGGGGUGCGGCGUGCGGUUUAAUCUAAUUCAACGCAGAGAAUCUCACCAGGAGCGACGGCAGGAUGAAGGUCAGUCUAAAGGGCUUACUUGACGAGCCGAGAGGUAGUGCAUGGCCGCCGUCAGCUCGUGCCGUAAGGUGUCCUGUUAAGUCAGGCAACGAGCGAGACCUGUGCUUACAAUUGCUAACGAGUCUGCAAAGAUGAUCGAGCACAUUGUAAGAACUGCCUCUGAAAAGGGGAGGAAGGUGCAGGCUACGGUAGGUCUGUAUGCUCCGAAUCUUCUGGGCUACACGCGCGCAACAAUGGUAAGGACAAUGGGAUACAACUCCGAAAGGAGAAGUUAAUCCUCGAAACCUUAUCCAAGUCCAGAUUGAGGAUUGUAACUCAUCCUCAUGACGCUGGAAUCCCUAGUAAUCGGAGUUUAUCAUACUCCGGUGAAUAUGUCCCUGCUCCUUGCACACACCGCCCGUCAAGCCACCCGAGUAGGGUUUAGAUGAGGCCUUAUUUUCAAUAAGUUCAAAUCUAAACUCAGCGAGGAGGGCUAAGUCGUCACAAGGUA